GUACCUACGGGAGGCAGCAGUGAGGAAUAUUGGUCAAUGAGCGGAAGCCUGAACCAGCCAAGUCGCGUGAGGGAUUAAGGCCCUAUGGGUCGUAAACCUCUUUUGUCAGGGAGCAAUGGCGUCCACGUGUGGGCGUAUGGAGAGUACCUGAAGAAAAAGCAUCGGCUAACUCCGUGCCAGCAGCCGCGGUAAUACGGAGGAUGCGAGCGUUAUCCGGAUUUAUUGGGUUUAAAGGGAGCGUAGGUGGAUUGUUAAGUCAGUUGUGAAAGUUUGCGGCUCAACCGUAAAAUUGCAGUUGAAACUGG
rnacentral:rRNA from 1 species